CGGAUCACCACCAAGGACCUCCUGAUAGACACAUAUGGAGAAGAAGGGGCUCUGGAGGUCACAAUUGAAGUCUUUACACUGAUCGGUCUGAUGGGACCUGCCAAGGACCUCCAGGAUAGGAGAGAACAAACUGCCAAACUGAAGAAGAUGACACAUGGCAUCAGAUUAUCAGACUUCAGAAAGAAAUACAGAGAGUCUGUGGAAAAGAUGUUCCAGCGGAUUCAUGAAUAUAAUUCCCGUAGUGGAGAGGCUGUUAGUCUACAGAAAAGAUACACCAAGUUAUUAAU